rnacentral:rRNA from 1 species
CGUGUAGGCGGUGCCGCACGUCGGGUGUGAAAGCCCGGGGCUCAACCCCGGAAGUGCACUCGAUACGACGGCGCUGGAGUCCUGAAGAGGAGAGCGGAAUUCCCGGUGUAGAGGUGAAAUUCGUAGAUAUCGGGAGGAACACCAGUGGCGAAGGCGGCUCUCUGGACAGGUACUGACGCUGAGACGCGAAAGCGUGGGUAGCAAACA